rnacentral:rRNA from 1 species
UACAGAGGGUGCAAGCGUUGUUCGGAAUUAUUGGGCGUAAAGGGUGCGUAGGCGGUGCGGUAAGUCUGUAGUGAAAUCUCUGGGCUCAACUCAGAGUCUGCUAUAGAAACUGCCGUGCUUGAGUGUGGGAGAGGUGAGUGGAAUUCCCGGUGUAGCGGUGAAAUGCGUAGAUAUCGGAAAGAACACCAGUGGCGAAGGCGGCUUCCUGGACUCAUACUGACGUUGAGGCGCGAAAGCGUGGGUAGCAAACAGG